AGCUGAGUAUUCAGAAAAAAAUUAGAGGCCAUAUUGUGUACAUAUUCUUUAUAUGUGUUUAACAAGUAGCAGGCAACAAUUCUUUGGGUGCUGAAACUGGAUUAGGCACAAGUUGGGGCUUAUUUGACCAUAUCCAACCUAUCAUGAUAGAACAAUUUUGAAUAAUUAGGUUUCUCCCCCAAAGCAUACCUACCACAUUUACGAUAUGUAACUAAAAUAAGGAUAGUGUUCCAUUUAUUAGAAUGAGAACUAAAUGGCCACUAGAGAUAGCUGGAUUGAGCUUCAGGGAGAAGUUCUUUUUUCUUUUCCCCUAGAUAUCCAACAGGAAGUGUUUCAUUUUAGUAUCGGCUUUGUCACUAUCCACAUUUAUAUGGAUAAAUAUGAUUGACUGUUAUGAAAAUCACAUCACAGCUAUUUUUUCUACUUUGAACAAAGUGACCCUUCUCAUUUACAUUCACCUGCUGUCUUCCAUGUGUCACAAAGGAAUCAACCACCAUGUGAGAAAUGAGUCAUCUAUCCAAAGCAAAUGCAGCUUGCUAAGACCCAUUCUUCUUUUACUUAAUUCACAUUAGCUUGGAAGUUCUACAGUAGUGACUAGGUAGGAUUGUUUACUUAGGCAACACAUGCAGAUGAAUCUUACUUAUAAUGCUUUAUAUAAGCAACAGUCAUGGUAAUUGAGAAGCACCACAAAAUUUGAAUUGCUUUGUGUUAUACUGGUGGAUAUCAUACUUACCAUGUGCUUACUCACAGUGUGAAAUAUCAUGCUAUGGUAGCAGUUGGAAGACAGAGGCAACAUAGUUGAAAAAAUAAUCCUUAAAUUGCAAGGAGAAGAGACUAUAGAUGAGCCCCAGAACUAAGGCCAUUCUGAGGAUAUAAAAUAUAUACAAAUAUGGUAGAGUUACACAAUGAUGUAUAAAUUAAAAAAUUUUUUAAUAUUCCUUCUCUCAUUUGUACCUCAUUAGCUGGUGAGUUAACAUUAUGAUUAUUUUUUUGGAAAGAAACAAAUGUCUUGCUCUUAAUAAACAGUCAGUGGUUAGUAAAAGUAAGGGCACACUUCACUUGGGCAUUUCCUGAUAUGUUUACAAUUUAAAGGAUUUCCACUAAUGUAGUUUCUAUGUGUCUGGGUAGAAGGGUGCUGACCAAAAACAAAUAAAUUGUGACAGUGACUGAAUUGCUAGAUGAUAUGUCAUUAUAAAAGAUUCUUCUGUUUUGGUAUUCUAAUUGACUACACUUAAUAUUAGAAAUUUCUGUUGGCUAUAUAAAUGCCUUAUUAUAAGAAAACAAGAUAGCUUCAGGAGUUCCCAUUGUUAAGAACCUGACACUGUGUCUGUGAGGAUGUGGGUUCAAUCCCUGGCCUCGCUCAGUGAGUUUUAGAUCUGGCGUUGCUUCAAGGUGCAGUGUAGGUCACAGAUGUGACUCGGAUUCAGUGUUGCCAUGGCUGUGACGUAGGCUGGCAGCUGCAGCUCCGAUUUGACUCCUAGCCCAGGAACUUCCAUAUGCCACAGGUGUGGUCUUAAAAAGAAAAAAAAAAAAGUACAAGAUAGCUUCAUGAAAGUUGUUUAAUAGUAUAUUUUAUUGGUUUUCAGGUAUUGAUUUGACAUCUAUACACCUUGAUUUAAAAGUUUUCACUUUAUUUUGUAUUCAUCUCAUACCCAAUUAAGUUUAAAAUGAAUGCAAACAAGGUAUGGGGCAUAAGUUAUUUAAAAAUAAACCAUUUGUCACUGGAGUGAAAUCAGAAAUCACGGGAUUUAUGGUAGUUAUAGUUCAGUGAAAUGGUGCCCUCUUAUAGUAUCUCCGAAUCAUUCCAUUUCCCUAUUUUCACACCUCCAUUAUCCAUAUCUAGUCCCCUGUACUAGCUGCUAUUCUGUUCUACAAUAAAAGACAUAGUUUUAAACUUCCUCUACUUUUGGAAGGCACACUUUUCUUGCAGCUCAGUUUAUGAACAAAAAUGAUCAAUAUUUACUAUUGUAGUGAAGUCAAUACUCUGACUUAUUUGUCCAAAGUUAAUUGGGGCCAAUUAUUUGUACUCUGCUAAUAAAAACUCACGUUUUAAAAUUCAGGAGAAACAUUAGCACCUUCCUUUUAUCAUCCUUAAGCAGCUCUCUGGCAUAACAAUGAUAUUUUAAAUUGGAUCAAAAGCUCAUAGGAUAUUAAGAUACAUUUGUUAGUAUUUCUACUAUUUUAAUGAAAUAGUGACAGUGACAGCCUUCUGCAUUUCUUUUAACAUUCAUUAGGUCACUUAGGCCUUAUAUUAUGUGAAGAAAUAAUUAUCAUCAAAACAUUGUCUCUGUCUCAGUAUGAAAAACAUUCUAAUUCAAAUUCAGUCAAACAAGUAUCAAGAAUGCUGAGGGAAUGAGAUAGAUCUCUUUUGACAAGACAGUAAAAACUUCCUCUUUGCCAUGGCCAGGAAUGCUCUAUUCAGAGAUGGUCCAAGAUACUCAAGAAAAGACUCAAGAAAACAUAUGGUUUUAGCAGUUUAAUGAAAGAGCAGAGCCUUUACUUAAGGAACUAUAAUUAUAAAGACCUAUAAUCAUCAUGUUAAAUCAGGAUGGGGAAUUCUCAGCACCUCAAAGUAAUUACCUAUGGGUAUGAAAGAACUAAGAACACCUGGAAGUUCUCAGAAUGUACAUGACCUGAGGCAGGGUCAGCUUCGUGGCCAUGUGAUCUAUGCCGUUGCCCAGGACCAAGGGCUCAGAAGGACCCUUGCACUUGGUUUAAUGCUUUGCUUUUGCCUUCUUAAAAUGCCUAAUAAUUUUUGAACAGGGGACCCUGGGUUUUCCUUUUGCCUUGGACCCCGCAAAUAUGUAGCCAGUACUAAUGUGAGGUUACCUGAGAGAGAAACUUUUGCAUGAGGUAGCUAGUAAGUGAGAAAGACCCAUGCUAGCAGCUUUGCCAGUGGGGUACAUCGAGCAAACUAUAGAGUAGAGAACAGUGCAGACUGGGCCCUCCAAGCAGUGGGGGGUGGGGGAAGGGGUAGGGUGGGUAUUGAUUUAGAAAAUAAUGAAUGUUUUUGGAGGCCUUGUGAGUAGGAAAGGCAAAAGGAUGGAGAUGGAUGUUUCUUUCCUUUUGGUAUCUUGCAUCCUACAUAAUUUAAAAUGGAUUUCCGAAUUGGCCUUCUAGAACACCAUUCUCUAAGCUUUUCUAAUUGUCCGCUCCUGUCAUUAUAAAAAUGUGAAUGUGCAUCUCCAAAUAAAGGCCUAUUAGUUUAAAACUUACAUUUCAUAUUACUAUAAAACCAUGAUAUAUGCAACAUUAUCAAAUAAAAAUGUAGUGCAAGCCACAAAUGAAGCCACAUAUAUAAUUUUAAAGUUUUCUAAUAGCC
rnacentral:lncRNA from 1 species